rnacentral:rRNA from 1 species
GAUGAACGCUGGCGGCGUGCUUAACACAUGCAAGUCGAACGGAAAGGCGAGGAGCUUGCUCCGCUUACGUGAGCGGCGCGCGGGUGUGUAACAUGUGUAUAACCUACUUGAAAGACGGGGAAAACCUGGGAAAACGGGAGCUUAUAACAGAGAAUAUACUGAAGCACAGAGGUGGAUAGAAAGGUACGGUUGUUGUGCCUCUUCUAGAGGCAUACGCGCCGGAUUAGGUAGUUGGGGAGGUAACGGCUUACCAAGGCGACGAUGGGUGGACGGCCUGAGAGGGUGAUAGGCCACACUGGAACUGAGACACGGCCCAGACUCCUACGGGAGGCAGCAGUGGGGAAUUGUGGACAAUGGGGGCAAGCCUGAUCCAGCAAUGCCGAGUGUAGGAAGAAGGCCUUAGGGUUGUAAAGUGCUUUUGUGCGGAACGAAACGGCUCCGGUUAAUACGCGGGGUUAGUGACGGUACCGUAAGAAUAAGCACCGGCUAACUACGUG